rnacentral:lncRNA from 1 species
AACUUUCCAUCUCUCUGUUUCUGCUCAUAAGAGCUUUCAUAUCCAUGGCCGAGAGUGCCUCAGUAGCAUAAUUUCUCAUUAUCCCUCUUCCAUUUUCCUGAUCUCCCGAUGUAAUAGAAAAAAGUUAAGGAAAAAACACCCAAUUAACAAGAAUACCCGUUGCAUAGAUUCAUUCAAGUUAGAAUGGAGGUCGACCUAUUGACCAAUAGCCAGCUUUAGUAGGUAAUUGAAUGGAGUUGAGAAGGUUUGGUGGUGGCGUCGCAUAAACCCUCGAUGGGUCACGUAAUAUUAAUUAUGCCUCAAGGCGUUUUGCCAGUACUCUGAUCCGAGACGAGCCUUGAGGUGAGCCUCAAAAUUAUCUUUUAAAACACUAUUUCUUGAUUUUAUUCCAUUUUCAUGGUGGAAGAAAUUUAUACACAAAUUUUAGAUAUUAAAUAAUUCAUGUAUGAGUAAUUCUUGUGUAGCUAACUCUUGUAUAAUUACUUUAGGCAUAAAUUAUUGCCGCGUAAGUUAGCCUUUCAAACCAGA